AUCCAAUAUCACAGACCAUUGAUUAUGGGGCAUUUAAUCACUGCCAUUGCAGUGAAUCUGAAAUUACUACACCCAACACACACUGACCUCACCCCCACUAACAAACCAACCCCCCUGGACCUUCAAACUUUGGAUGAUAUGGGGUUGCUUUGCAAAGUGGGGGACAUUUUUUCCAUUUCACCUGCAGGACCCCUCACACCA
rnacentral:lncRNA from 1 species